rnacentral:rRNA from 1 species
AACGAACGCUGGCGGCAUGCCUAACACAUGCAAGUCGAACGAGACCUUCGGGUCUAGUGGCGCACGGGUGCGUAACGCGUGGGAACCUGCCCUUAGGUUCGGAAUAACUCCCGGAAAGGGUGGCAAAACCGGGAAAAGUCCUUGGGCCAAAGAUUUAUUGCCUUUGGAGGGGCCCUAGUUGGAUUAGGUAGUUGGUAGGGGAAAAGCCUACCAAGGGGACGCUCCAUAGCUGGGCUGGGAGGAUGAUCAGCCACACUGGGACUGAGACACGGCCCAGACUCCUACGCGAGGCAGCAGUGGGGAAUAUUGGACAAUGGGCGAAAGCCUGAUCCAGCAAUGCCGCGUGAGUGAUGAAGGCCUUAGGGUUGUACAGCUCUUUUACCCGGGAUGAUAAUGACAGUACCGGGAGAAUAAGCUCCGGCUAACUCCGUG